GUGUCAGCAGCCGCGGUAAUACGUAGGAGGCAAGCGUUAUCCGGAUUUACCGGGCGUAAAGAGUGCGUAGGCGGUUUGGUAAGUCGGAUGUGAAAUCUCCCGGCUUAACCGGGAGGAGUCAUCCGAUACUGUCAGACUAGAGUGCAGCAGGGGGAAGUGGAAUUCCCGGUGUAGUGGUGAUAUGCGUAGAUAUCGGGAGGAACACCAGUGGCGAAGGCGGCUUCCUGGGCUGUUUCUGACGCUGAGGCUCGAAAGUGUGGGGAGCGAACAGGAUUAGAUACCCUGGUAGUCCACACUGUAAACGAUGGACACUAGGUAUGGGGAGUAUCGACCCUCUCCGUGCCGAAGUUAACGCGUUAAGUGUCCCGCCUGGGGACUACGGCCGCAAGGCUAAAACUUAAAGGAAUUGGCGGGG
rnacentral:rRNA from 1 species